CCUACGGGAGGCAGCAGUGAGGAAUAUUGGUCAAUGGACGAGAGUCUGAACCAGCCAAGUAGCGUGAAGGAUGACUGCCCUAUGGGUUGUAAACUUCUUUUAUAAAGGAAUAAAAUGAGGCACGUGUGCCUUUUUGUAUGUACUUUAUGAAUAAGGAUCGGCUAACUCCGUGCCAGCAGCCGCGGUAAUACGGAGGAUCCGAGCGUUAUCCGGAUUUAUUGGGUUUAAAGGGAGCGUAGGUGGGUUGUUAAGUCAGUUGUGAAAGUUUGCGGCUCAACCGUAAAAGUGCAAUUGAUACUGGCAGUCUUGAGUACAGGUGAGGUAAGCGGAAUUCGUGGUGUAGCGGUGAAAUGCUUAGAUAUCACGAAGAACCCCGAUUGCGAAGGCAGCUUACUAAACUGCGACUGACAUUGAUGCUCGAAAGUGUGGGUAUCAAACAGGAUUAGAUACCCCUGUAGUC
rnacentral:rRNA from 1 species